AGAGUUUGAUCCUGGCUCAGGACAAACGCUGGCGGCGUGCUUAACACAUGCAAGUCGAACGGUAUCGGUGGAAUAGCAAUAGGAAGCCGGUAUAGUGGCGGACGGGUGAGUAACGCGUGAGCAGUCUGCCUUUAAGAGGGGGAUAACACCGGGGAACCGGUGCUAAUACCGCAUAAGACCACGCUACCACAUGGUAGAGGGGUAAAAGGAGCAAUCCGCUUAAAGAUGAGCUCGCGUCCCAUUAGCUAGUUGGUGAGGUAACGGCUCACCAAGGCUGCGAUGGGUAGCCGACCUGAGAGGGUGAUCGGCCACACUGGAACUGAGACACGGUCCAGACUCCUACGGGAGGCAGCAGUGGGGAAUAUUGGGCAAUGGGCGAAAGCCUGACCCAGCAACGCCGCGUGAGGGAAGAAGGUUUUCGGAUUGUAAACCUCUGUCCUUGGUGAAGAGUUCGAGACGGUAGCCAAGGAGGAAGCCCCGGCUAACUACGUGCCAGCAGCCGCGGUAAA
rnacentral:rRNA from 1 species